rnacentral:rRNA from 1 species
CGGAGGGUGCGAGCGUUGUCCGGAAUCAUUGGGCGUAAAGGGCGCGUAGGUGGCGUGGUCAGUCUGUGGUGAAAGCGCGGGGCUCAACCCCGCGUCGGCCGUGGAUACUGCUAUGCUAGAGCACUGUAGAGGCAGGCGGAAUUCCGGGUGUAGCGGUGGAAUGCGUAGAGAUCCGGAAGAACACCAGGGGCGAAGGCGGCCUGCUGGGCAGUUGCUGACACUGAUGCGCGACAGCGUGGGGAGCAAACAGGAUUAGAUACCCUGGUAGUCCACGCCGUAAACGAUGGGUACUAGGCGCUUGGGGGAGCGACCCUCCGAGGGCCGGCGCUAACGCAUUAAGUACCCCGCCUGGGGAGUACGGCCGCAAGGCUG